rnacentral:rRNA from 1 species
AUGAACGCUGGCGGCGUGCCUAAUACAUGCAAGUCGAGCGAACAGACGAGGAGCUUGCUCCUCUGACGUUAGCGGCGGACGGGUGAGUAACACGUGGAUAACCUACCUAUAAGACUGGGAUAACUUCGGGAAACCGGAGCUAAUACCGGAUAAUAUAUUGAACCGCAUGGUUCAAUAGUGAAAGACGGUUUUGCUGUCACUUAUAGAUGGAUCCGCGCCGCAUUAGAUAGUUGGUAAGGUAACGGCUUACCAAGGCAACGAUGCGUAGCCGACCUGAGAGGGUGAUCGGCCACACUGGAACUGAGACACGGUCCAGACUCCUACGGGAGGCAGCAGUAGGGAAUCUUCCGCAAUGGGCGAAAGCCUGACGGAGCAACGCCGCGUGAGUGAUGAAGGUCUUCGGAUCGUAAAACUCUGUUAUUAGGGAAGAACAAAUGUGUAAGUAACUAUGCACGUCUUGACGGUACCUAAUCAGAAAGCCACGGCUAACUACGUG